rnacentral:rRNA from 1 species
GCAAGUCGAACGGUAACAUGAGAGCUUGCUCUUGAUGACGAGUGGCGCACGGGUGCGUAACGCGUAUGCAAUCUACCUUUUACUGGAGAAUAGCCCUUGGAAACGAGGAAUAAUACUCCAUAGUAUAACAAUUUCGCAUGUUAUUGUUAUUAAAGCUUUGGCGGUAAAAGAUGAGCAUGCGUCCCAUUAGUUAGUUGGUGAGGUAAAGGCUCACCAAGACUGCGAUGGGUAGGGGGCCUGAGAGGGUUAUC